rnacentral:rRNA from 1 species
UACGGAGGGUGCGAGCGUUGUCCGGAAUCACUGGGCGUAAAGGGCGCGUAGGCGGGCUGACAAGUCUGGGGUGAAAUCCCGCGGCUCAACCGUGGAACUGCCUUAGAUACUGUCGGCCUCGAGGAAGGUAGGGGCAUGCGGAACUGUAGGUGGAGCGGUGAAAUGCGUUGAUAUCUACAGGAACUCCGGUGGCGAAAGCGGCGUGCUGGACCUUUUCUGACGCUGAGGCGCGAAAGCUAGGGGAGCAAACGGG